rnacentral:rRNA from 1 species
UAGAUGCGAGAGUAGAGCAUAUCAAUAAGCGGAGGAAAAGAAACUAACAAGGAUUCCCUUAGUAACGGCGAGUGAAGCGGGAAGAGCUCAAAUUUGAAAUCUUCAAGGUUCUACCUUGACGAAUUGUAGUUUAUAGAAGUGUUUUCUGUUAGUAGAGUGGCAAAAGUUCUUUGGAAUAGGACAUCAUAGAGGGUGAGAAUCCCGUAUUUGGUCAUUCUUUCUAGCUUUGUGAUACACUUUCAACGAGUCGGAUUGUUUGGGAAUGCAGUCCAAAAUGGGUGGUAAAUUUCAUCUAAAGCUAAAUAUUGGCGAGAGACCGAUAGCGAACAAGUACCGUGAGGGAAAGAUGAAAAGAACUUUGAAAAGAGAGUUAAACAGUACGUGAAAUUGUCAAAAGGGAAGCGUUUGACACCAGUGUUGUUUUCUCGAAAAUCAAUUAAAAAAGGCCGGAUUUUGUGUUGUAUUGACUUUAUCAGCCUUCUUCACUCUUUUCCUAUCUUUUUUAAUGCACUUUUCGUUUAACAAGUCAACAUCAGUUUCUUUUGCUGUAAAAGAGUCAUUGGAAGGUGGCUUUCUUUUCGGAGAAAGUGUUUAUAGCCUUUGAUCUUCUGCAAUCGGAGAGAUUGAGGUCUGCAGCGUAGAUCCUUCGGGGUUAGAUACAUUUGUGCUAAGCUAUAGCCUUUCAUAGACAACUUGUUGACUAUGAUCAGUCAUGUAGCUUACUCGCUUAUGCUAUUUUACCUACGCUUAGGAUGUUGACACACGCGCGUGCUCG